AGAAAAAACGAUAUCUUGAUUUCAUAACAAUAUAGUUUUUGAGCCUAAAAAUUCUGUUUUCUGUGCUCCUAUUUAGUUUUUGAAAUCAUGAUUCUGUUUUUAAUUUUUCGUGCUCAAAUUCAAUCCAUUUUUUUUGUAUAAUUUAAAACACAUUUCUUUUAUUAUGUUACUCUUGACAGUAUUAACCAAGAAACAAA
rnacentral:misc_RNA from 1 species